UAGAGAGUGAAAACUCCCUUAAAACCACUGUUUAUCUACCUGUUUGUUGCUUCGGCAGGCGGUCCCGGGGGGGCUGUAGCCUGUAAAGGCGCCUGCCGAAGGUACCCAAACUCUGCUAUAAUCGUCAUCAGAGUCAACUGAAAAAUAAGUAA
rnacentral:misc_RNA from 1 species